rnacentral:lncRNA from 1 species
GAAGACCUGAGGUAUCAGGGGUAGGGGUUGCUCUGCUUGUGUAAGUCCCAUAGUGUGAAGGCCAGAGAACCAAGAGAUGGUCAAGAAGAGAGAGAGCAUCACGACCUGUGCAGACUCCCCAGCAUCAUAACAGGAAGGUCCCACGAUCACGAGCACAUUGCCUUCAGCAUCCAGCACUGAAUAUGGUGAAUUGCACUCUGAAGAGCUUCCUAAGCUUGUAAGAAAGUGAUUCUGAAAAGCUCAACAUUUUGGUAGAAUGGAGAGAUUUGACAUUGCUUCUGCUCCAAAAGCAAAAGACUUGGCUUAGGUGACUGCAGCAAGAGAUGUCCAGAGUCUCAACAUUGGGUGAUUGAAGAGCAGAAAGACUGGCAUGAAAUAUCUGUCAACAUAGCUCAACAAGGAAUCAGGAAGAGAGAGUCUUCAAGAUGGCUGACUAGAGGCAUCUGGUACUUGCCUCCUCCACAAAGAAGAACCAAAAUAGCAAGUAUAUUAUUACACUUCGAAUAGAUCAUCUAAGAAAGAACACUGGAAUUCAACCAAGAAGUGGCAAUAAAUACCUAAGGCAAGGAA